GCCAGUGUGAUGUAGUGGUUUGAGUAUUGGACUACAACUCUGGAGAUCAGGGUUUGACUCCCUGCUCAGCCA